rnacentral:rRNA from 1 species
UGCUCCAGAAUAGCUCUUGGAAACAGAUGCUAAUACCGGAUAACAACAGAUGAUGCCUAUCAACUGUUUAAAAGAUGGUUCUGCUAUCACUCUUGGAUGGACCUGCGGUGCAUUAGCUAGUUGGUAGGGUAACGGCCUACCAAGGCGAUGAUGCAUAGCCGAGUUGAGAGACUGAUCGGCCACAUUGGGACUGAGACACGGCCCAAACUCCUACGGGAGGCAGCAGUC